AAAAGAUAUUUUGAAAAUUUUACUUUGCCAUGGUAUUUUGACCCCCCUGCAGUAUAUUGAACCCCCUACUCUAGGCCUUUAAUUUCCAAAAAUCUGGCAAUUCUAACUCUUUUAUGUAGUUAGAAUUCACCAAUAAGUAGUUUGUAUGUAUUUAACUUGCUGGAAAAGAUAUUUUUAAAAUUUUACUUUGCCAUGGUAUUUUGACCCCCUCCCCCUUUUUUACCAUGGAAAAUCAAAACUACCCUUAUAUAUAUAUAUAUAUAUAUAUAUAUAUAUAUAUAUAUAUAUACAUAUGUUAUAAUUACAAAUAAUUAAAGCAUUCAAGCUACAUAUGGUCUAGUUAUAAUGUGUCAAUAAGUAUUUUGAAUGACAUUUUGUUGGUAAAGAC
rnacentral:lncRNA from 1 species